rnacentral:lncRNA from 1 species
CCGAACUUGGGGUGGUGAAUGUAUUUAGGAGGAAGAGGUGGAAACUUUGGAAGUGGUGGGAGCUGUGGAAGUGGCGGACAUGGCUUCUUUGGAAUCACCACUACCGGUGGUUUGUAUACUGGUACCGGCGGAGGGCAUGGCUUCUUGGGGAUCACAACCGGUGGUUUGUAUAUUGGUACCGGCGGAGGACACGGCUUCUUCACAAUUGGUGGUAUGUAGAUUGGUGGAUGCUCUAUCUUCGGCGGCGGCUUGUAAACCGGAACUGGAGGUGGGUGCUCUAUCUUCGGCGGUGGAAUGACUAUCUUUGGCGGCGGCUUGUGGACUGGAACCGGCGGUGGAUCAACUUUCUUAGGCGGACAAGGCUUCUUCGUUGGUGGUUUGUGGACUGGCACCGGCGGUGGAUCAACUUUCUUAGGCGGACAUGGCUUCUUCGGUAGCUUGUGUACCGGAACGGGAGGUGGGUGCUCUAUCUUUGGCGGGGGCUUGUAAACCGGAACCGGAGGUGGCUUCUCUAUCUUUGGCGGUGGCUUGUAAACCGGAACCGGAGGUGGGUGCUCUAUCUUCGGCGGUUUAGGUGGACAAGGCUUCUUAGGAAUAGGCGGUGGAAGCUCCACCUUUGGUGGUGGCUUGUAAACUGGGACAGGUGGUGGAACCUCUUUCUUAGGCGGUGGAUCGUAAACCGGAACCGGCGGGGGAAUCUCUUUCUUUGGCGGCGGCUCGUAAACUGGUACCGGGG